GAUGAGACGUCUCCGGAAUCGCUGUACCACACGUUGAUGAUUUCCUUGAACCCUUGUACAUCUGAUGGCUGCAGCUGCAU